CGCACCUUGCACCCUUUGGUAUUCCGAAGGGUACGCCCGUUUGAGUGUCAUUGUAAUCUCACUUCAACAACUUUAUUGUUGUUUGUAAUGUGGACUUGGAUGUUGCCGUGUCAUUACGGCUCGUCUCAAAUGCCUGAGUGUACCCUGUUUUGUCAGCGUAUCCAGUGUAAUAAACAUUUCACUAGAGUUGGUCAAAAGACCGCGUUUGCGAUUUGGGCUCUAUGCUUCAAACCGUCCGCUAUGUGGACAAUUUCUUGACAAUUUGACCUCAAAUCGGGUGGGACUACCCGCUGAACUUAA
rnacentral:rRNA from 1 species